GUCGGCACUGCCUGGAAUUUCAUGACUUGUUCCAGCCUAGUGUCUGGAAGUUAUGAACUUACAUUUGGUAACACUAUUUCAUCUGUUGUUUGCAUGUCCCAUAUGUUACAUUUUACUGACCCAAGUGUUCUGGUUUGAAAGUGUUAGGCAUUGUGUAUGGCACUGUUUUAUCUACAAUAUUCACUGUGAUUAAAUACAUGUUAUUGUCCAGCAGCGACCUUAAAUGCAGGCUUUUUAAAGAUUAAAAUAAAGACUUUGAAAAAGCCUGUAUUUAAGGUGAAAUGUGUUAG